GCAGGCCCUAGAAGAGGCUGAAAGUGCUGCCCUUUGACCCCCAGGAGCCAGGAUCCAGGCACUCACUGACAGCAGCCCUGAGAGCCGCCCCUGGGCCCCCAGGCGGACCUGCCAUUCCCAGACACAGAGCAGAGCGUCCGGCACAGCAGGCUCUCCCAGACUCCCUGGCACCUCCAGCGAGAUAGUGUGGGGCAGGGGCCCCAUUAUAGCCCCUGUCUGUGGGCGGGGCCGCUCCUGAGAACAUCAGAGAGGAGAGGGUCUGGCCUUCCGCCUCCAGUGUACAAGGGAGACCAGAAGCCUUGGGAGGGAAGCACAGCCGCAGGCAAAGGGCUGGAAGAUUCCCUGGGCCUGGAACUCUCGCUGCCUCCCUGCUCACAGCCCUUCCUUCCUGGUGGUCGUGAGAGCAACAUCUGCCAACAGGAGCAUCAGCUUUGGCUCCCGCGAUGCUUUAAAAGCUGUAUUUAAUGCAUUGCUAAUGUUAAUAAUGGGAGGUUUUCUCAUAAAAAAUGUGGGUGUCCCCCUCUUGAGAAAUCAGUGCCUCAGACCACGCUGGGCUCGCACUCCUGCGUGGCUGCAGCUGCAGGGCUGAGAGGCAGGUGCUCUCCGGAAGGGGGCACAGCCACCCGGUGAGCCACAGUCCCCACCGCUCCCUGCAGCCUUACCUGCACCCUCCUCGUCUCUAUUACCGCCUGGCCCCCGAGGCAUGUGAGUGCCCUUCCUCUGGCCUAGUCCAGUCUUUCUUUGAACAGGUGAGGAAAUUGAAUGGCUGAGAGGGGCGGCACUGGCCAAAGUCAGUGUGAAGUAUAGCCAGGCCAAGUAUACGUGUCAUUCUCGGGAUCAGAACUCCUGCAGGCUUCUUGUCACCACAGGGGUGACUGCCGAGAACAGGUAACAUGUAUUGAGCCAUGCCAUGUGCUUUACAGUCUUGUGAGGCAGGCACUCCCGUGGUCAUCUCUCUUGACACCAAGGAUGCAGAGGCUCGGAGGAAGCAGGUGACUACCCCAAGGCCACACAGCUGGUUGGUGGUCACCCUGGCAUUCCAGGUCAGGCAACCUGAGGCCAGAGCCCACACUCCUGGUUACGCCCCCCUUCCCCCAGCCCUCCAAGGCAAGGCCCUGGAUGGUGCAGCCCCUGCCCUCGGCAGCCCCACCCCACUCAGCAGACCCUGCAGCUCCAGCCAUGUUGAACUCCCUUCCUACCACCCAGAAUUGCCCCUUCCCUGUCAGAGUCCCAGCAGCCCCUCAAAGCUCAGCCCACUUGGUUCAUCCUUAGAGUGUUAGUGGGUUGUGUACCUGUCUGCUUCUCCCACCCCACCAGAUGCUCCUGGAGGGCAGAGAAUCCUUCCAGCAGCCAGCACAGUGCCCUAGGCCUAGAGAACAUCUUUAAGGGAGGGGAAGAAGGAUGGCUGGAUGGCUGGAUGGAUGAGACGGUGGAAGGCUGAAGCCAGAAGUACCGCCCACCCCUGACUCCAGCUUCACUGCAGUACCUGCAGGACCAGGCCUAGGGACCAUUAAUUUUUUUAUGGACAAUCAAACCCGGAUAGACUGGAAGGGCCACCACACAACUGAUUCAAAAACAGUCACCAAGGCGCCAGGGACACCCAUCUGGGGGUCAACCAGGAGAGGUCCGCGCCCCUCUCCCCUGAGGCUGACUUUGACCACCUCCUUCCUCCUCCCUCCGGGAUGGCUCUGAAUCGGCCUCCACGCUCUGCUGCAAGGAUUGUGGCUGUAGAGGUGUUCUGUGAGCACCUGUCUGCCUGGCCUCUGGCCAGAUCUGCUUCUCUCCCGACCCCAGCCAUCCACUCCAUCAGCCUGACAGGCAGCCUCAGUGAGACCCCAGAGGGCCCCCAGCUGUAGAGCAUCAAGCCGAGGCUGGGCUGGGCUGGCCGGGCCCCUGGCCCUUUCUUUUUUUUUUUUUAACAUCUUUAUUGGGGUAUAAUUACUUUACAAUGGUGUGUUAGUUUCUGCUUUAUAACAAAGU